GACAGAGGGUGCAAACGUUGUUCGGAAUUACUGGGCGUAAAGCGUGUGUAGGCGGCUUCGCAAGUCGGAUGUGAAAGCCCCGGGCUCAACCCGGGAAGUGCACUCGAUACUGCGGAGCUAGAGUGUCGGAGAGGUUGGUGGAAUUCUCGGUGUAGAGGUGAAAUUCGUAGAUAUCGAGAGGAACACCGGUGGCGAAGGCGGCCAACUGGACGAACACUGACGCUGAGACACGAAAGCGUGGGGAGCAAACAGG
rnacentral:rRNA from 1 species